rnacentral:rRNA from 1 species
GGGGAAAGCUCAGCAAAGAAAUCGAGGACUCCGGCCUUGAGUUGUGGACUUGAGAGGUAUCGCCAAUGGUGGCACAGGUGGGGGCCUCUUGGAAAAGGGCACCACAGAGGGUGUGAGUCCUGUUUGCCAUCUGUAGUCCGCUGUGUACGGCAUGCCUCCUCCGAGUCACGUUCCUUGGAAUUGGAGCGCGAAGGUGGUGGUGGCUUUCAUCUCAAGNNNNUAUGGGUUCGAGACCGAUAGCAACAAGUACCAUGAGGGAAAAUUGAAAAGAGCUUUGGAAAGAGAGUUAAAAGUGCCCGACUUGCUGAUAGGGAAGCGAAGGAGCUGACGUUGCUUGUAACACCUUCCGCGCAGGACUAGGAUGGGUUCUGAUUGCAAUGUGUGUUGUGUUUCUUGCCAUGCGUGUCAAUGCCAAGUAAUGAGUGGGAGAGCUCCAGGGAUAAUGAUUGUUUCUGUCCCCGGUAGACAAUAUGUCUGGGUGCAUCCAUUUGUGGGCUGAAA